rnacentral:rRNA from 1 species
GAUGAACGCUGGCGGCGUGCCUAAUACAUGCCAGUCGAGCGAACGGACGAGAAGCUUGCUUCUCUGAUGUUAGCGGCGGACGGGUGAGUAACACGUGGAUAACCUACCUAUAAGACUGGGAUAACUUCGGGAAACCGGAGCUAAUACCGGAUAAUAUUUUGAACCGCAUGGUUCAAAAGUGAAAGACGGUCUUGCUGUCACUUAUAGAUGGAUCCGCGCUGCAUUAGCUAGUUGGUAAGGUAACGGCUUACCAAGGCAACGAUGCAUAGCCGACCUGAGAGGGUGAUCGGCCACACUGGAACUGAGGCACGGUCCAGACUCCUACGGGAGGCAGCAGUAGGGAAUCUUCCGCAAUGGGCGAAAGCCUGACGGAGCAACGCCGCGUGAGUGAUGAAGGUCUUCGGAUCGUAAAACUCUGUUAUUCGGGAAGAACAUAUGUGUAAGUAACUGUGCACAUCUUGACGGUACCUAAUCAGAAAGCCACGGCUAACUACGUG